UUCGCUGACGAGUGGCGGACGGGUGAGUAAUGUCUGGGAAACUGCCUGAUGGAGGGGGAUAACUACUGGAAACGGUAGCUAAUACCGCAUAACGUCGCAAGACCAAAGAGGGGGACCUUCGGGCCUCUUGCCAUCGGAUGUGCCCAGAUGGGAUUAGCUUGUUGGUGGGGUAACGGCUCACCAAGGCGACGAUCCCUAGCUG
rnacentral:rRNA from 1 species